rnacentral:rRNA from 1 species
UACAGAGGGUGCGAGCGUUGUUCGAAAUUAUUGGGCGUAAAGGGCGCGUAGGCGGCGCGGUAAGUCACCUGUGAAAUCUCCCGGCUCAACUGGGAGCCUGCAGGCGAAACUGCCGUGCUGGAGUGUGGGAGAGGUGCGUGGAAUUCCCGGUGUAGCAGUGAAAUGCGUAGAUAUCGGGAGGAACACCUGUGGCGAAAGCGGCGCACUGGACCACAACUGACGCUGAGGUGCGAAAGCUAGGGGAGCAAACAGG